rnacentral:rRNA from 1 species
GACGAACGCUGGCGGCGUGCUUAACACAUGCAAGUCGAACGGAAAGGCCCUGCUUUUGUGGGGUGCUCGAGUGGCGAACGGGUGAGUAACACGUGAGUAACCUGCCCUUGACUUUGGGAUAACUUCAGGAAACUGGGGCUAAUACCGGAUAGGAGCUCCUGCUGCAUGGUGGGGGUUGGAAAGUUUCGGCGGUUGGGGAUGGACUCGCGGCUUAUCAGCUUGUUGGUGGGGUAGUGGCUUACCAAGGCUUUGACGGGUAGCCGGCCUGAGAGGGUGACCGGGCAAAAUGGGACUGGGAAUAGGGCCAGGAUUCUUAGGGAGGGAGGAGGGGGGAAUAAUGGAAAAUGGGGGGAAGGCUGAUGCAGCAAAGGCGCGGGGGGGAUGACGGCCUUCGGGUUGUAAACCGCUUUCGCCUGUGACGAAGCGUGAGUGACGGUAAUGGGUAAAGAAGCACCGGCUAACUACGUG